AGCUGCCCAAUUAGUGUUGUGCGGCCAGUGGCGAGGCGAGGGCCGGGGAGCGAGCGAGCACGCAAGGCGGGAGGGGUGGCCGGAGCUGCGGCGGCUGGCACAGGAGGAGGAGCCCGGGUGGACGAGGAGCGGCCGGACAGCGCCGGGGCCUGAGCUCCCGGAGCGGCGCCUGUGAGUGAGUGCAGAAAGCAGGCGCCCGCGCGCUCGCCGUGGCAGGAGCAGCCCGCACGCCGCGCUCUCUCCCUGGGCGACCUGCAGUUUGCAAUAUGACUUUGGAGGAAUUCUCGGCUGGAGAGCAGAAGACCGAAAGGAUGGAUAAGGUGGGGGAUGCCCUGGAGGAAGUGCUCAGCAAAGCCCUGAGUCAGCGCACGAUCACUGUCGGGGUGUACGAAGCGGCCAAGCUGCUCAACGUGUAAGUGGGGCCCUUGCGCGUCCCCCGUGGCACCCCUUCCCUCCCCAGCCCGGGAGGUCGCCUUGGCUGGGCGCCCCUCGCCCGGCCGCGCCACUUCCUGUCGCUUUUCUGCCUGUCUCGGAGGGGAGGGGGCGAGUGGGCCGGGCGGCGACCCCCGGCAGGGGGCAGGGGUUGAGGGUGCCCGCGUUUCUGCGCUCACUGGCCCCGCCCGCUGCCCCCAGCGAUCCCGAUAACGUGGUGUUGUGCCUGCUGGCGGCGGACGAGGACGACGACAGAGAUGUGGCUUUGCAGAUCCACUUCACCCUGAUCCAGGCGUUUUGCUGCGAGAACGACAUCAACAUCCUGCGCGUCAGCAACCCAGGCCGGUUGGCGGAGCUCCUACUCUUGGAGACCGACGCUGGCCCCGCGGCGAGCGAGGGCGCCGAGCAGCCCCCGGACCUGCACUGCGUGCUGGUGACGG
rnacentral:sRNA from 1 species